rnacentral:rRNA from 1 species
CGAGGAGGUAGGGCUUACGCUCGCGUUUGUCUGUUAUAUCUUGGUGGACGAGUUGUCGCGGUUGGGACUGAGGUGCCUACAACGUGCUUUUGAGUGAGUUUGUGUCUCCGUGUGCGCCGUGUGCGGAUAGCUUGCUAUGUAUGUGCGGUUGUGUGUGGAUUGAUGCGGGCCUUAACUUGUCGCCGUUCGGGACGUUGACGAAAUGGAGCGAUCCGACCCGUCUUGAAACACGGACCAAGGAGUCUAACAUGUGUGCAAGUGUUAGGGUGUGGAAACCCCAGCGCGAAAUGAAAGUGAAGGGCAGCGCAAGUUGUCUGAGGUAGGAAACGUUGCGGGCCUCGGUCUGCGGCGUGGCACUAUCGACCGAUCAUGAACCUUCGUGGUGAAAGAUUUGAGUUUGAGCACAUAUGUUGGUACCCGAAAGAUGGUGAACUAUGCCUGAGUAGGGUGAAGCCAGGGGAAACUCUGGUGGAAGCUCGUAGCGAUUCUGACGUGCAAAUCGAUCGUCAAACUUGGGUAUAGGGGCGAAAGACUAAUCGAACCAUCUAGUAGCUGGUUCCCUCCGAAAUUUCCCUCAGGAUAGCAGCAACUUAUUUACGAUAGUUUUAUGAGGUAAAGCGAAUGAUUAGAGGAUUCGGGGAAGAAACUUCCUCGACCUAUUCUCAAACUUUAAAUCUGUAAGACCUGCAGGUUUCUUAAU